AUGGAGCAGCACGACCCCCGUGCCUCGGUACUGAGCAGAUCCCACACACGAACAAUUCACCCCUCGGCUCCAGCGCUCCGUGGGGACACUCACUUGAACCCCCCCCAAAACCGGGAACACCGGGGACGAGACACUCGAAGCCACCCGAUCCCUCCACCCCCGGGAGGUUCCCCUGGGACCGGGCGGGGAGCGGGGACAUCCCCCGGGAACAGGCGGCAGCGGGCACCGGGACAUCCCCCGGGAACGGGCGGGAGCGGGCACCGGGACAUCCCCCGGGAUCGGGCACCGGGACAUCCCCCGGGAACGGGCGGGAGCGGGCACCGGGACAUCCCCCGGGAACGGGCGGGAGCGGGCACCGGGACAUCCCCCGGGAACGGGGCGCUGCCGGGGCGGCUCCCGGGGGUCCUGCCCGCCCGCGGGGAGCGGCCCCGUCCCCGCACCCCCGGGAGCGGCCGCGGAGGCGCCCCAGGAGCCGCGGCCGCUGCCCGCCGCCCUCCCCGCCGGCGCGGCCGCCGCUCCCGCCUCACCUCCGCGAUGUCAUCUUCCCCCGUGGCCCCGGCGGGUCGCGGUGCGCCGCCCCCCGCGCCGCCCGCCGCUCACAUGGGGGUCCCGGCGGGGCCGCGGCCUUCGGGCGCUGCGGGGAGCGCGAACAACGGCGGCCUCGGGCCCGCGAGCGCGGCGCGGCCCGCCCCGCGUCACCGCCCGCGCCGUCAUCGCCCCGCGCCGCGCCCCGCCCCGCGCCGCCGCUCCGCCCCGGGGGCUGCGGGACCCCCGGCACAGCAGCGCGGUGACACCGGAGCCUCGCCCGCGCGCGGGGCAGGGCGCGGAGCCGGCCGAGCCCCGAGCGGACACGGGUUAAGCGGCGGCGGCGCGGCGGGGCCGCUGUCCGGGCCGGGGCUCCCGCAGCCCCCGGAGCGGGCGCGGGGUCUGGUGUCUCCCCCGCCGCUGACCCGGGGCUGCCCCGGGCAGCGCGGGCGCUCCCGGACUACGAGUCCCGUGCUCCCCCGCGCGGCGCGCUGA
rnacentral:lncRNA from 1 species